rnacentral:lncRNA from 1 species
GUAAGAAAAGAUAAAUUUCUGAAAACCAAAAUGUCCUACCAGGUCUAUCCAUAUUUGUUUUAUUAAUGGGUAAUGCUUUCUAUUAGCUAAUGAAAAGAUGAUGGUAGUUUAACAGUGGAAUAACUUUUAAUAUAUCAUAAUCAGAGAAUACAAGGUAAGCAAAAUUACAAUCCAAUGUCUGAUUAGAAAAAAAAAUUAUUUUAUGGAAUUAAAAAAUAUUAUUUUAUUAAAUAAAAUAUGGUUUUCUUUUGAAAGUAUGUGGAAAUCAAAUUGCUAAGAUCAAUGCAACCAUUUAACUGAGUUUCAUUUUGACAAAAGGCAAUCUGUGGCGAUAUUGCUUUAGAAGUAAGAUGAAAUGCAUAAAUUCAGAUAAAACAUUUUGCCGAUUGCCUGGCUGAAAUAACUGGUUAUUAUUAUUGUUAUUACCAUUAGAAGACAAAAAAAUGGUCUCCCAGUUUUCAGCAUAUGCUACUCUUAAGUAGAAGGACCUUUAACAAAAGCUAAGUGUCCAGGCCUUGGUUUACUCAUCAAAGCAAAUGACCACAUCAGAUGUUCCCUGGGAGCCUUCUGACAUUUAGCAUUUGGUGAUUUUAUCAUCUCACUCCAAGUAAAGGAAGCAGCAAAACCUCUCUGAUUGUAUUUUGAGGUCUCUGCAUAAAUAACUGUAAAGCAUAUUUGACCACAUUAUGAGAAAAUUUGUAAAAUAAAUUUUAUUUGGAAUGCCUACUUGAACUGGAAAUUAACAAUUAGAGGACAUGACUUCCCUGAUGUUUACCUCAUUAGAAAAUGUCUUGGACAAAACGCUGGCAAAAAUCUUCUCUUGAAAACAAUCCUUUAUUAUUUAAAAGGUGGAAUUUAUGCCCCCCAAAUUUAUCUUUCUAAUGAUAUUUAACCCAUUUUGCAUAGCUCGUGUUUUCUUUUGUCCAAUGUUUAAACUAGCUUUUAUUUUUUUAAUGAUUAGAAGCUUGAACAUGUAAAAAAAAAAACAUUAAUGACUUUCAUAGCAUGAACCAGGAAAACAUUUAAAAUCUGUUAAACCUAGUAAUAAUUAUUUCAAAAUGUUGCCUACUAAUGAUGACUUACUAAUUAUCACUUUGUUGUCUUAGUAACUACCUACCCUUGCUGAAGAGUUGACAGAUUUUCAAAUCUACAGAUUGUGACAUAUAAGAAUGUGUGAAACCUGGUGGGUGAGCCAUCUUAGGCCUCAGUUUCUCCAUGUGAAAUGGGAGGAACUGGGCUGAACGAGAUCUAGGUUGUCCUUCCAUUCUGAGUGUGUUCUCUCAAGAUAAUGCUUGUGUUAAUAAGGACUGCAGGGCUCAGUCAGUCAAUGGGUUAUGUUCCUUAAACCUUAUCCAAAACAUCCCGGGUGUUAUGUGUUUCAAAAUUCAGAUUUUUUACAUUUCUUUUGGAUUUUAUAAUGGUAAUACAUUACAAAACAGUAUAUUAUAUAAUCCCCCCAGCAAGGUAUGGGGCAGCUCCAUGUAAUUAAGCUCAUUAUGGAUUCUGUGGCCACUGGUAUGAAAUUGAGGGCGGUGACAAUCAGGGACUCUAAAUAGGUUGUCAUUAGCUCAGGUCAGUUACUGUGGCUAAACACAUUACGGACAAUCUUUUUUUCUUUUUUUUCCUAUUUGUUUUUACUGCAUUUUGGAUUUCAGAAUGGUGGAUAAAGAUUGCGAAUUUGCACAGCUAUAAAGCUUACUAAUUAAAGACUACAAACACAAAGAGAGCAAGCCUUGUGAUGACUGCACAAUAACGAGGAUUCAGAUACAACGUGGUCGCCACCUGACGCCCACCUCCACAAAAAGCCAUUCUCAAAAGGAGAGAGACAUUCAUAUCCAGAAGAGGGAGUCGGCUGUAGGGUAGAGAUGUUCGUCUGAAGAUUUCAAAGCCCACUGCUGAUUUAAGGUCAUUCACAUUCAGCCAUGAAGCUGCUCUGAAGACACAGGAACUGCAUAGCUCCCUACUGGGAAUGUCAAGGGCUGUGAAAGGUCUAAGGUUUUAUCCUACUUGCAACCAACAAGCUAUGCAGCCACAGUUUUAUGGAUGCUGUCAAAAGACAUGACACUCCUGGCACUUCAAAUGCAUCAAAGGUCCAGAGAGAAGCUUCUUCUGGUCACCUUGAUCUUGUGAUGCAAGGCAGGUGGGAGCAAGGGCUCCACCUCUGCAGACACAGAGAUGACGGGGUCGCCAUGCCGGCGUUUUAGUCCCGGUUUCCUCUGCUCGAGUAGUUGGUGGCCUCCUGCCUGUUCCCUAACAUAACUUCACUUUCCUUACCUGCAAAACGAAAUUAGUAUUUCCUCCCUCACAAGGUGCUUGAUGCCCUUCCCCUUGCGUUUACUUUGCCUGAGAGACUAUAUCAUAUCUAUGAUUUUGUGAAUGGGGCAAAAGGAAUUGAGAGUGUCAGGGUAUACCUUAUAAAUAAGCCACUAAAGGUUACAUCCUCAUUCCACAAACUGACCUAAACAAUUUGGCUGUCACUAAUAGAUUAUUUUGGUCAGUUAUGGCAUUUAGAGGGAGAAGAGAGAGUAUAUAUAUAUGGGUGGGGUGUGUGUGUAUGCGUGUGUAUGUGUGUGUUUACAGUCAAAAUACCAAAAUAUAUCUAUGUAUAUAAAUAUAUUUGCUUUCUUUGUUUUUGUUACAAUAAACUUGUACAUACAAUUCUGACACACAUAUUUUCAUAUGUAGGCACAAAAAUAGUCAUACAAAAAAUACCACAAAAGGUAAUAACAAAGUGGAAGAAGACAUAGGAACAGAGAACAAACCAACACAUAGAAAAAGUAACAAACAUGGUAGAUACGAAUCCAGCUAUAUCAAUAAUCGCGUUAAACAUCAAUGGUCUUAAAUAUACUAGACAGUGGAAUAUUAUUCAGCAUUGAAAAGAAAUGACCUAUCAAGCCAUGAAAGACAAGGAGGAACCUUAAAUGCAUGUUACUGAGUGAAAGAAGCCAAUCUGAAAAGGCUGCAUCCUGCAGGAUUCUGACUCUAUGACAUUCUGGAAAAGGUAAAACUACUAAGACAGUGAAAAGAUCAGUAGCUGCCAGGGGUUACGGGAAGGGGAUGAUGAAUAAGUGGGGCACAGCAUUUUGAGGAGGUGAAACUACUCUGUAGGAUACUGUAACAGUAAAUCCAUGUCAUUAUAUGUUUGUACACACCCAUAGAACACCAGGAGGACAGCACCAAGAGGGAGCCCUAGUGUGAACUGUGGACUCUGGUUGGUAAUGAUGUGCCUGUGAAGCUUCAUUGUUUGCAGCAAAUGCAUCAGUGUGGUGGGGGAUGUUUCUAAAUUGAUAAUGAAGGACGCCAUAGGUGUAUGGGGGCAGAGAGUUUAUGAGAAAUCUGUACCUUUUGCUCAAUUUUACUGAACAUAAAACUGCUGAAGCCAUCAUUCUCAGCAAACUAACCCAGGAGCAGAAAACCAAACGCCGCAUGUUCUCACUCAUAAGUGGGAGUUGAACAAUGAGAACACAUGGACACAGGGAGGGGAACAUCGUCACACACCGGAGCCUGUCGCAGGGUGGGGAGCUGGGGGAGGGAGAGCAUUAAGACAAAUACCUAAUGCAUGUGGGGCUUAAAACCUAGAUGAUAGGUUGAUAGGUGCAGCAAACCACCAUGGCACAUGUAUACCUAUGUAACAAACCUGCACAUUCUGCACAUGUAUCCCAGAACUUAAAGUAAAAUAUAUUAAAAAAAUUAAAGUCUAUUUUAAAAAAAGAAAAACAAUCAGCUAACCUACUUUGGUAGCUCUGUUCUGCGCUGUCGGGUCUUCCAUCCUAGCGUGUGACACAGGAGGGUUUCGCUGGCAGGACCCGCCCACUGCACAUGCAGGUUCAGGUGACAGAGACCUCUGGAAAGAUGAGGCCCGUGGGAGCAGGGGGCUUCUUGUUGACACUGAAGGUCAGGCUUCAGGAAUGCCAGGGGCUCAUAAAAUCUUUUUCACUGAACAUUAUGCUGAGCAGGAUUCAUUUUACCAGUGAAAAAAUAUUUCUGACAUCCUUUGUGCUUUUUAACAAAGCCUGUGGUGUGGAUUUGCAUGAUUCUUAGAUUGCUGAGUAACCACUUCGGGAGGGUUCUUGAUUAGGGCACUAAAAAUGUUAACACAACACCCGUGGGAUGUAGAUUAAGGUCAACUUGUCCUUGUGCGUCUCUCCUAGUGUUGAUGGCAGAGUCUUAGUAUUUCAGCUGACGAAAUCUCUGCCCAUUCUCUUCCAAUGUUCCCUAAUAAGCUACAGGAGGACAGAGACAAAAGUUUGACUUCAUUAGUAACUUUUGGAAGUUGCCCAAUUUAGGAAAAAGAGUUAAUAAAUCAGGAAUUUUAUAAGAACUUUUUGUUAAAUCUGUAGUUAUUCAAAUCAGCCUCAGCAUGAUAAGACAACACUACAGGUUAUUAUAAAUAGUUGAAAAAGAAAAAUUAAAUUCCAACCAAACAAUUGAUCCUUAACUUUUUUUUUUUUUGAGA